CAGUCGCCACGGGAAUACGUAGGUGGCAAGCGUUGUCCGGAAUUAUUGGGCGUAAAGGGCUCGCAGGCGGUUUCUUAAGUCUGAUGUGAGAGCCCCCGGCUCAACCGGGGAGGGUCAUUGGAAACUGGGAAACUUGAGUGCAGAAGAGGAGAGUGGAAUUCCACGCGUAGCGGUGAAAUGCGUAGAGAUGUGGAGGAACACCAGUGGCGAAGGCGACUCUCUGGUCCGUAACUGACGCUGAGGAGCGAAAGCGUGGGGAGCGAACAGGAUUAGAUACCCCUGUAGUCCCUGUCUCUUAUAC
rnacentral:rRNA from 1 species